rnacentral:misc_RNA from 1 species
GAUGAAAUCUUGAGGAGUCUUUGUGGGGAGGAUGCAAUUGUUUACGCCAUUUGUGAAUUACAAGAGGAGUGUGAUUCGAGGGGUUCUUUGAUUUUGAAGAAAUAUAUGGAGUAUAGGAAAUUGGCUAAAUUAUCAUCUGAGAUUAAUGCCCAAAACAAGAAUUUGCUUGCCGUUGGAGCUCCUGAAGGGCCUGACCCGAGAGAGGUUGAGUUGUAUUUAGAAGAAAUACUGUCACUGAUGCAAUUAGGUGAGGAUUACAC